rnacentral:rRNA from 1 species
AGAGUUUGAUCAUGGCUCAGCCUGAACGCUGGCGGCGUGGCUAAGACAUGCAAGUCGUACGGGUGUAGCAAUACACCAGUGGCGAACGGGUGAGUAAUGUAUCGCUAACGUGCCCCCGAGUCAGGGAUAGCUGCCCGAAAGGGCAGGUAAUACCUGAUGAGACCACGAAGAGGCAUCUCUUUGUGCCCAAAGCAGCAAUGCGCUCAGGGAGCGGGCGAUAUCGUAUCAGCUAGUUGGUGAGGUAACGGCUCACCAAGGCGACGACGCGUAGCCGGACUGAGAGGUUGGCCGGCCACAUUGGGACUGAGACACUGCCCAGACUCCUACGGGGGGCUGCAGUAACGAAUCUUCCGCAAUGCACGAAAGUGUGACGGAGCGACGCCGCGUGUGGGACGAAGUCCUUCGGGAUGUAAACCACUGUCAGGGGUUACCAAGUUCUGAGGAGCCCCAGAGGAAGGCACGGCUAACUCUGUGCCAGCCGCCGCGGUAAUAC